rnacentral:tRNA from 1 species
GCCUGGGUGGCUCAUUUGGUUAAGCAUCUGACUUCAGUUCAGGUCAUGAUGUCACAGUUUGUGGGUUCGAGCCCCGCAUCGGGCU